rnacentral:rRNA from 1 species
UGCGCAGGCGGUUGAGUAAGACAGAUGUGAAAUCCCCGAGCUUAACUCGGGAAUGGCAUAUGUGACUGCUCGACUAGAGUGUGUCAGAAGGAGGUGGAAUUCCACGUGUAGCAGUGAAAUGCGUAGAUAUGUGGAAGAACACCGAUGGCGAAGGCAGCCUCCUGGGACAUAACUGAGCUCAGGCACGAAAGCGUGGGAGCAAACA